rnacentral:rRNA from 1 species
UGAAUACGAGACGCUAAGGCGUCGAAGUAGUGUAUGUCAUACUUCCAAGAAAAGCUUGCACUGUCAUAGAUAAAAAACGCCUGUACCAUAACCGACACAGGUGGGUAGGUAGAGUAUACUAAGGGGCGCGAGAUAACUCUCUCUAAGGAACUCGGCAAAAUAACUCCGUAACUUCGGGAGAAGGAGUGCCUUAUUCUUAAGGUUGCAAUAACAUAUCCAAGCAACUGUUUAUCAAAAACACAGGUCUCCGCUAAGUCGUAAGACGAUGUAUGGGGGCUGACGCCUGCCCAGUGCCAGAAGGUUAAAGAAGCUGGUUAGCAUUUGCGAAGCUAGUAACUGAAGCCCUGGUGAACGGCGGCCGUAACAAUAACGGUCCUAAGGUAGCGAAAUUCCUUGUCGGGUAAGUUCCGACCCGCACGAAAGGCGUAAUGAUUUGGAUACUGUCUCGGAGAGGGGCUCGGUGAAAUAGACUUGUCUGUGAAGAUGCGGACUACCUGCACCAGGACAGAAAGACCCUAUGAAGCUUUACUGUAACUUGAAAUUGAAAUUGGACUUUAUUCGCGCAGUAUAGGUGGGAGGCGUUGAUUAUAAUCUUGCGGGAUUAUUGGAGCCAUUAGUGAGAUACCACUCUUGUAAUGUUAGAUUUCUAACUUUGAAUCAUUAUCUGGUCAAAGAACAGUUUCAGGCGGGCAGUUUGACUGGGGCGGUCGCCUCCUAAACGGUAACGGAGGCGUACAAAGGUUUCCUCUGAACGGUUAGAAAUCGUAUCUAGAGUGUAAAGGCAUAAGGAAGCUUGACUGUGAGACCUACAAGUCGAGCAGGGACGAAAGUCGGUCUUAGUGAUCUGACGGUACUGAGUGGAAAGGCCGUCACUCAACGGAUGAAAGUUACUCUAGGGAUAACAGGCUGAUCUCCCCCAAGAGUUCACAUCGACGGGGAGGUUUGGCACCUCGAUGUCGGCUCAUCGCAUCCUGGGGCGGUAGUACGUCCCAAGGGUUGGGCUGUUCGCCCAUGAAAGCGGUACGCGAGCUGGGUUCAGAACGUCGUGAGACAGUUCGGUCCAUAUCCGGUGUAGGCGUUAGAAUAUUGAGAGGAGCCUUCUUUAGUACGAGAGGACCGAGAAGGACAUACCUCUGGUGUACCAGUUAUCGUGCCAACGGUAAACGCUGGGUAGCUAUGUAUGGAGUGGAUAACCGCUGAAAGCAUCUAAGUGGGAAGCCCACCUCAAGAUAAGUAUUCUCAUC